GGGGGGCCCGGGCUGCGGCGCCGAGGGGACCGUGUAACCUCCCCCUGCUCCUCCCCGGGGAGGUGCUACUGCACGCAGCGGGCUCUCCUGGCGCCGCCGCACAAAGGAGCGUGCACCGGUCCGCACGGGCCCUCCAGACUGCGGGGCCAGGAGCGCUGCAAGGGGGUGGGAUUGCAUGUGCUCUGUAGACCCCCUCCGAGCAGCGAUCUCUGGCCCUAGCCUAAGCUACCAGAGCGGAGCCGAGACUGUACCGGGAGGACAGCAGUCGGGCAGCCUCUUUUCCUGCAUUGCAUUGCAAAGGGGGUGGGGGAGAAUUGCAACAGAAGAGCCCGUUUUCCAGCGUUGCAAAGGGGGAGGGAUGCCGCGGGGGGGCGUUUUCCUGCAUUGCUCGCGCGUGGUGUGCUUGAGAGAGACCGCGAGAAAGACAAGGGGACUGGCCGCCCGUUUUCCUGCAUUGCAACGGGGGGAGGGAUUGCAGCCGGGGAGCCGGUUUUCCUGCAUUGCACAGGCUCUGGACCAUCUGCCGGAAAUCCAGGCGUGGAACCUUCCAAAUGAGGACUGGGGAGAGCAGUUGGGGGAUUCAUUUUUGGGCCCUGCAGUCGGGCGGGACAAGGGCUCAGGGACAGAGUUGUGGCUGGCAGAUCAGAGGAGUGUGUAGGUGACAGACGGAAGAGGAAGGCCCAGUGAACUGCUGCCGCAUAGAUUGUGGAGCCAGCCCUGAUGACAAGCCGUGAAACCUGAAGAAUGUCUUCUCCCUCUCGGCCAAUGGCGGUGCAGACAGUUUCUGCAGGAGUUGCGUUGCCCAGAGUAGAGGAGCUGUCCCUGCAGGGUAGAUCUUGUUUCAGCACAAAGUGGGGUAGGCUCCCUGCUCUCUGUAUCCCCCAAGAUCUGUGGGCGUCGGUCCACCAAAUCCUCAGCCCUCCAGACCCCUCCCACCAGUGGGCAUGGGUCUAGGAAACCUCUCUGAGGCUCACCUUGCUGAGUUUCCCUUCCUGCGGGUUUUUCUGCAGGAGGGAACUGCUCUGGUUCAGUGACGCAGCUGGAAAGAAUGAUGAAAUGAAUAACACUCUGUCUCCUAAGAAGCAGUAUUGUUUUCCUGUUACCACAAUGGCAACUGCUGGAGAGGCAAAAUAAGCCUCCGAUUCAGCAAGUAAUCUCUCUGGCUUUUGCACCGCACGAGGCCAUGGGAGCCCCUGGAAUUUGACCUCCUCAGCUUUGCAUAGGCUUGGACAUAUUUAUUUCGCGCUGAAUGGCAGCAGUUGCUGCGCUGAACUCCAGCGAAAUGCCAGUUUAAGUUCCAAUUGGUAUGAGUGUAACAAAGCUUCAAUUAUGCCAAAUGUUUUAGUUCCCCCUAAGGGGCUACUUAUAAUCUCAUCUCCUCACCAGUACGUCUGACCUCUGCAGCAACAGGCCUGCACAUUUUAGGAGCUCCACUCCACCAUGUUACCGAGGGUAGGUCUCAGCCAGCAUUAGAAUUACCGCAGAGGAUGUUAAAGCUUCCGACUCCUCUUUGUGACUGUAGAAUUAACGGAAAAAAACAGAGGUUCGGGGCCCAGUCCUGUAAACUUUGCACACAGGAGUAGUUGACAACAGGAGGGAGCACGGAUUACCCCGGUGAGUAAGGAUUUGCAAGAUCAGGACCAUAGUUUUUACUUUCAUGAGGUGUACAUUAGGGUAUAACUCCACAGAAGCCAGUGAAAUUGUAUGGCUGCAAAGACAAUGUAAACGAGAUCAGAGUCAGGCCUGGGAUGACUAACAGCUUCCAAAUUAUUAGUCCUCAUGUCUGAAUGGAGAACUAUUUCCUUUGCAUUCAGUACAAAACAAUACAGCUCCCCUGAAACAACAUGAAGAUUAUGAGGACAAAGCCAGGAUCCAGAAUUCCCCGUGAUGCACCACAUCAGCAGUAUAAAAAGCGCAUAAACUACAAACUUUCUGACUUUUAGAGUUUGUAUUGUUUUCCACCAUCUAAAGGAUACUGGACCAAAUCCAUCCCUGUACUAACAGUGACACCAGGAGCGACUUUGGCCCAAUAGUACUAAUAUCUUGGUUGAUUUGGGGCAAUGAUAUUAAACUGCAGCAUUGAACAUGUAGGAUAUUCCCUUUUUACAGAUGGGGAGAAAAGGCUGGGAGGGUCUGAACACACAGUCUGUCUUCUUACUGCCUCUGAAAUGUGCGUCAUAAAUCUUCAUGUGAAAUACAAUGGAGUGAGCUGGAUAAUAUUUCCUUUAUCAUUUCAGUUUAACAUUUGCUCAUGGUUGCACCCAGAUUUAAAAUUUUUUUUUCCUCACCAGCAAUAAAGUUUGAUGAGCCUUUGGCCUCGAUCCUGCACAUUGUUUUGCCCGGGUGAAGCCUUCUGUCCGUGCACAGCACCAUAGGCUUCGACAGACGCAGGGGUCUGACUGCAUGGAAUGGCCUGUGGGAUUGCGGCCUUAUUUGGUAUGUAAGGGCUAUGGGUCCGAUCCAACUCCAUUGAAAUCAAUGGGAUUCUCACCGCUGAUUUCAAUGGAAAUUGGAUCGGGGCCCAAGUCCCCAUUUUACUGAUGAGAAAAUUGAGGCACGGGACACGGAAUUACUGUCCUGCCAGGUUUAGAACAUAGCAGUUUCUGACUCCCAGUGUAUGUGAUGAGAAUAAAUACAUGAAAGUUUAUGAAGUGUUCAGGUACUAUAGUAACAAAGGCCAAAUAAGCAUUGUACAUAGAUUGUCCUGUGCACACCUCUCCCCCUCAGCAGACACUUAAAUCUCUUGGAGCCAAUGCAAGAUUUCUGCUGUGCAAACAAAUUCUCACCUGCUACUUCUGAGCCCAUUUCUUGUUAGACCCUAGUUGAGCUAAAUCCCCUAAUUCCUGCCCUUCAUCAACCAGGGUUUAACAUCAUCACACUUCCAAGUUCCCAAAUAGAGAACACUUGCAACAUAUUUUGAGAUUGAAACUUGAAAAGACUGAGGAAGGAUUGCAUGGACUGAAGGUCCCCCAUGGAGGAAGCAGCAGCGUAAAUAACGUUUGUUUAAUUGCCAAGGGUUAUGGAAUGUAGGAUUAUGGUAGGAUAAGGGGAUUUCCCCAUUGACAGCUGCUCCCACAAACGCACCCAUUAUUUAUAUACGUAACUUCUUGUUCAGACAGUAAGAAUUUAAACUGCCCAUGACACCACUGUACCCGUGAUUGCUGUUUCCACAGUUGUAACAUCUGGGUUACAUGUAGCUGUCUCCCCCAGGAAUUGUCUUUAAUAGAUGCAAUUGGAGCAGAGGUCAUUAUACUAAGAAGAGGCACAGCUCUGUGUUUGAAAAGGAAACCAUUAUUUCUAAGGUUAAUCAUUGCUAGUUAAUGCUUUGGUUCCCCUUCCCUUCUGGAGUGGUGGGAGUACUCAGCGAUUCUGAAAAUCAGGCUCAAAUCAUAGUGUCUGGGGCAGAUUUUGGUCUAUUCUACAGUGACUUUUAGUGGAUUUACUCCACAUUUAGGGCCCAUUCCUGCACCAUUGAGGUCAAUGGGAAUAGAAUUGCGGCCUUACAUGGUAUAACUGAGGUGGGGAUCUGGCCCUUUGGAGAAACAUCUAUUCAUACCAUAGAAACAAUGGAUGUCCUUCGUGAAAUGCACCCAGGGCUAGUCACUAUGUCUGCAGGCUCAGCAUUGUUGUGUUAAAUUUGCCAUUAUGUACUAGUCUGACCAAAAAAAUGUGAUUCUGUCUAUCUGUUAUGGUCUCAUACUUUCAUCUAAUGACCACCAAGUUCAGUCACACUUACGUGAGCACAAUAUCUUUGCAGGUUGGUCCACUGGCAGCUGAAUUUUGUCUCUUUCAGUAACGAAUGAAUUCAGUUGUACCCACUUACAUAUAUAGGCUGGGAUUUGGCAAAGUGGCCCUGGGGAGUAAAACACCCUAAAUCCCAGCUCUCAGCCAGAUGAGAAAACCUGGCUUUGUUUCUUUGGGCUUAUUUGUGCCACCCUAGGACUACACUCUGUGAAGUUCAGCAGAAAUCAAUGGGCCUACUCUCAAAGUGAGGGGCUAGUCAGUAUGAGUAAGGGUAGCAGAAUCAAGUCCAAAGGUACAAACCCAGAUGAGCAACCUGAGAGAGAGUGUUGCCCAGUGGAUAGAGUUCUGUAGUGGGACUCGGGAGACUUGGGUUAUAUUCUUGUCUCUGCUGGCUAGCUGUGACCAAAUCUCUUCACCUGUCUGUACCUCAGUUUCCCCAUCUGUAGAAUGAGGAUCAUGGUACUGCCCUCCUUUGUAAAGUGCUUUGAGAGCUAUAGAUGAAAGGUGCUUUAUUAAAAAUUAACUGAAGGGUUGGUACAUAGUGUGCCUACAGUCAAAGAUACUGGUCCUGAUGUCAAUCCUGUUAUACAUUAGUGUAACCUGCUCUAUUGACUUCAGUAUUAUUCCUGAUUCACCCAGGGUCUAAGUAAGAGCAGAACGAGGCACACUACAUGGGAAGGUGAAACGUAACAACAGAGCAAAGAAGAAGAAAGAUAAAAAAAGAGAUACGACGCCAAGGAAAGUUAAAAACACUGUUGUCUGGAUCCAAACCCUUAUUACUCAGAGAAUUCUCCCAUUCAAGCCCAUGAGUCACAUUCUGACCUCUGGUGUGAAUCUGGAGUAAUUUGGAAUGGCUGACAUAUCCUCUGUGAAAUGUAGAGGGGAGUAACUAACAUCUCUGGAGAUACCAAAAAAGGGCUGCCGCAGCUGGUUUUUGGAUCUUGUAAAAAUUAGGUGUUGUUUUUUUUUAAACUUGGCUAUUUUCAGUAGUGAGUUAAUCCAUUGUUCCCUGGUUAUUGUUCCGUGCCAUUGUUAGUCUAACGUUAUUAAUAUAUUAGCCCUUUGGCUGCUAAACUGGUUCUAACAAACUGCUUACAUUUAUUUUUAGAGUUGUGAAAAUUGUGAUGUGUUACAACUUGAUACAGUUGUGAUUACAUUGGAACUGAAUGCAGAGUUAAUCCUUUUCAUAACCCCCAUCCAGAACGGAGCUGCAGUCCCUGAUUCCCUACUCCUUGGAGCACAGCCAGCAGGUAUUUGUGUGGGGAAGGCCCACUCUGUGAAGAUGUGGUGAAGUCCAAAGCUCUGAUCUGUGGGUGAAGGUGAAGACUUUGGCUUCAGUGCAGCUCAUCCUGCUCCCACUGAAGUUUUGCCACUGCCUUCUGUGAGAGCAAGAACAGGCUGUUUGGAAGUUGAGAGUACCUCAUAAAGGAUCAGGCCACAGUGUAGGAACUUGUGCUGUGCAAAAAUCCUGAAUAAAUGCCCCGUCCUGCUCCUAUUGAAAUUCAUAGGAGCUUGACCUCAACUCCAUUGGGAACAAGAUCAGGACCUGAAUCAACACGCAUGGUGCUGAAAAUAGGAAAUUAAACAGCUGUUUCAGGGAUGCUCCAGCCAAGCAAUAUGUGAUCAUGUUAAUUUGGGAGAAGUAUCUCCCUUCUCUCUUAUGCAUAUGAGAGGUAGCAAAUGUUCUAUUCCUGUCUUGUUCUCUCUUCCUGUUUUUACAUAUUCUUAGCUUUGAGUUUUUAGGGCUUACCACAAGUAAGAAAUGCAGCAAUCUUUCUGUCUGAGCUGCUGUUAAUAGAACUGGCCAAAAGGAGCAAGAAGAAUAUACUAUAGAAAAACCAAGUAUGGUAAAAUAACGAAUGAACAGCACAGGCUACCCUGUGAUCGCUGUAAACACGGUAAUGAUCUUAUCACUUUAAAUCAAAUGUUAUCAGUGUUAUUCCUUCAUGAAAAAUAAUUUCUAUGUCAUCACUACAUCACUCAGGGAGAGAGCUUUAGUCCCUUGAACAGUAUGUGCAAAUCUUUAUAUGAGAAUUGCAUUAUUCUGUAGUGAUGAUGUGAUUAUCUCUAUGUUAUCAUCACACAUGACCAGCAACUGCAUCAGUUUAACAUCUACCUUUAAUAUAUGUUAUCUCAAUACUUUCCAUACAGUUUUGUCUUGAGCCUUUUAGCCUGUGAUCCCUUAUUUAUUUUGCAUACUCCCUGAUUCUAAACAUUCAGCAACCUUCUAACCAGGGAACAUAUAACUUUAUUCUCUGUAGAUGAUUAUUUGGUUUGCAUAUUACUUGGGAGUGGCAGCAGAACAGCAAGAGCACGGGAUUAGCAACUGGAAGAUCUGGGUUCUUUUCCUCACUCUGCUAUUGUUGAGUGACCUUGGCAAAUCAGUUAACUUCUCUGCGCCUCAGUUUCCCCGUGAAUAAAAUAUUCACCUCUACAAAGCACUUUGAGGUCUUUGGAGGAAAAAUCCUAGAGAAAUGCUAAGUGCUGUUUUUAUUACAUAUAUGUCAAACUGUUUACCUCGCUUUGUGGUUUGGAGAUGUUUGGGCAGCUUCCACUCAGCACAAAAAUUUAACAAAUAAAUGAUCACUCUUUGUGUUG